AACGAACGCUGGCGGCAGGCCUAACACAUGCAAGUCGAACGAGAAGCCACCUUCGGGUGGUGGAAAGUGGCAGACGGGUGAGUAACACGUGGAACGUGCCCUUUGGUUCGGAACAACUCUGGGAAACUGGAGCUAAUACCGGAUAAGCCCUACGGGGGAAAGAUUUAUCGCCGAAGGAUCGGCCCGCGUCUGAUUAGCUUGUUGGUGAGGUAAUGGCUCACCAAGGCGACGAUCAGUAGCUGGUCUGAGAGGAUGAUCAGCCACACUGGGACUGAGCAACGGCCCAGACUCCUACGGGAGGGAGCAGUGGGGAAUAUUGGACAAGGGGCGCAAGCCUGAACCAGCCAUGCCGCGUGAGUGAUGACGGCCUUAGGGUUGUAAAGCUCUUUCGCCAGGGACGAUAAUGACGGUACCUGGAUAAGAAGCCCCGGCUAACUUCGUGCCAGCCGCCGCCGUAA
rnacentral:rRNA from 1 species